UUCGGAUUGUAGUCUGCAACCCGACUACAUGAAGCUGGAAUCGCUAGUAAUCGCGAAUCAGAAUGUCGCGGUGAAUACGUUCCCGGGUCUUGUACACACCGCCCGUCACACCAUGGGAGUCGGAAAUGCCCGAAGUCAGUGACCCAACCGCAAGGAGGGAGCUGCCGAAGGUGGAGCCGGUAACUGGGGUGAAGUCGUAACAAGGUAUC
rnacentral:rRNA from 1 species